CCUACGGUGUGCUGCAGUGGGGAAUAUUGCACAAUGGGGGAAACCCUGAUGCAGCAACGCCGCGUGAGUGAAGAAGUAUUUCGGUAUGUAAAGCUCUAUCAGCAGGGAAGAAGAAAGACGGUACCUGACUAAGAAGCCCCGCCUAACUACGUGCCAGCAGCCGCGGUAUUACGUAGGUGGCAUGCGUUAUCCGGAUUUACUGGGUGAAAGGGGAGCGUAGGUGGAAGGGCAAGUCAGUUUGUAAAACCCGGGGUUAAACCCCGGGAGUGCUUUUGAAACUGUCCAGCUGGAGUGAGGGGGGGGUAGGCGGAAUGCCUAGUGUAGCGGUGAAAGGAAUAGAAAUAAGGGGAAAAA
rnacentral:rRNA from 1 species